rnacentral:rRNA from 1 species
AACGAACGCUGGCAGCAUGCCUAACACAUGCAAGUCGAACGAGACCUUCGGGUCUAGUGGCGCACGGGUGCGUAACGCGUGGGAACCUGCCCUUAUGUUCGGAAUAACUCCCCGAAAGGGGUGCUAAUACCGGAUAAUGUCUUCUGACCAAAGAUUUAUCGCCUUUGGAUGGGCCCGCGUUGGAUUAGCUAGUUGGUAGGGUAAAAGCCUACCAAGGCGACGAUCCAUAGAUGGUAUGAGAGAAUGAUCAGCCACACUGGGACUGAGACACGGCCCAGACUCCUACGGGAGGCAGCAGUGGGGAAUAUUGGAAAAUGGGCGAAGGCAUGAUCCAGCAAUGCCGCGUGAGUGCUGAAGGCCGUAGGGUUGUAAAGCUCUUUUACCCGGGAUGAUAAUGACAGUACCGGGAGAAUAAGCUCCGGCUAACUCCGUG